rnacentral:rRNA from 1 species
UGGGGAAUAUUGCACAAUGGGCGAAAGCCUGAUGCAGCGACGCCGCGUGCGGGAUGAAGGCCUUCGGGUUGUAAACCGCUUUUAAUUGGGAGCAAGCGAGAGUGAGUGUACCUUUUGAAUAAGCACCGGCUAACUACGUGCCAGCAGCCGCGGUAAUACGUAGGGUGCAAGCGUUAUCCGGAAUUAUUGGGCGUAAAGAGCUCGUAGGCGGUUUGUCACGCCUGGUGUGAAAGUCCAUCGCUUAACGGUGGAUCUGCGCCGGGUACGGGCAGGCUAGAGUGCAGUAGGGGAGAUUGGAAUUCCCGGUGUAACGGUGGAAUGUGUAGAUAUCGGGAAGAACACCAAUGGCGAAGGCAGAUCUCUGGGCUGUUACUGACGCUGAGGAGCGAAAGCAUGGGGAGCGAACAGGAUUAGAUACCCUGGUAGUCCAUGCCGUAAACGGUGGAUGCUGGAUGUGGGACCCUUCCACGGGUUCCGUGUCGGAGCUAACGCGUUAAGCAUCCCCGCCUGGGGAGUACGGCCGCAAGGCUAAAACUCUAAAGUGAAUUGGACGGGGGUCAUA